GGCCGAGCCACAGCAGUUCUUCAGUGGCGAGCUUUAUGUCUUGUCCCAGCUAAAGCUGCCAGUUGAAGAACUGCUGAGCUCUGCU
rnacentral:pre_miRNA from 15 species